ensembl:lncRNA
GCAGGAGUCCAGCAGGAGUCCAGCAGGAGUCCAGCAGGAGUCCAACCGUCUCUGAGGACUUAUUUCCUGCUGACUAAAGAAACCGUCUCAAAAUUGAAGUCAGAUAAAUGUUUACAAUUUUAUAAAGUCAGUUUCUCAAAUUAGAACUAAAGCCCAGUGGAUGGGGGGGGGGAGGGGGUGAUGCUCCCAAAGGUCCUACAGGAGCCCUGGAUUACCCCCCCCCAUGCUUUUCCUUCGUUUUGCUUUCUCUUCUUUUUCUAAACUCAUCUCCACAAGAAUGAGACAGCAUCUGAUGAUGAGGGUGCAUGUGGAUGAAGGGCGCAGGUGCAUCAGUGCAACAGCCGUUACUUCAACCCAAGUUCCUUCUUACCAAAGCAGAGAAACUGCAGGAAUCUUAGCGGCGUUACUAUGUUACUUGUGUUUCUUCAUCACCAUCCCAUCAGACUUUCAAAGCCUGUAUUGUGAGCAUUUACAGCACAUGUAUUCUGUCCUCUGGCUGCAGGUCUGUCCACAGAAACAGGAGAACCCAGAAGUGCUUCAUCAUGAAUUUUAUAAUGAAAGCUGCGAUGGGAGUUUGCUAGGUGAGCUCGGACUCCUACAAAGAGCAGGCCAAAAGAGGCCUGCGGGCAACUCCGGAACAACAUCCCAGGGGAAGGACCGAAAGCUGUGCGACAGGACGUGAAAACAAGGCAAACGUGGAGGAGCUAAAACUAGGCUAGCAGCUAAGCCACACAAGCCAGCUAUUCCCACACUCCUGCUAGCGAACGUACGCUUACUCGACAACAAAAUGGACUACAUCAGACUAUGGAAAGCUUCCCAACGCAGCGUGAGGAACUGUUGUGUUUUGGUUUUUACAGAAUCCUGGCUGAAUGAGAAAAUUACAGACGCUACGAUCCAGCUGGAGGGGCUAACGAUGCACAGAGCGGACAGACUAGCUUCGCUAACCGGUAAACAAAGAGGCGGAGGGCUAGUUGUUUACACAAACAACCUAUGGUGCCAAGACGCCGUAGUGGUUCCGACCCAUUGUUAGCCACAUCUGGAGUCCCUGUCUGUGAAAUGCCAACCCUUAUACAUGCUGCGGGAGCUAACAGCUGUAAUCAUAACAGCUGUUUAUGUACCACCAAGCGCUAACGCUAGGGAAGCCAUGGCAGAGUUGCACAACAACAUCAGCGAACUUCUAAAGGAUUAUCCCGACGCCUUCUUCAUAGNNNNNNNNNNNNNNNNNNNNNNNNNNNNNNNNNNNNNNNNNNNNNNNNNNNNNNNNNNNNNNNNNNNNNNNNNNNNNNNNNNNNNNNNNNNNNNNNNNNNGCAAUCUCACGUGGAUUUUUGUGAUAAUUGUGGCAGAAAAAGCAGGAAGUUGCGGCUGUUUUUUUCUACGAGAUGAACCACCAGCUAAAGAUGAGCUUUAUGAUUGGUCAGACUGAUGACAUGUGAUUAAGCCUUCAAGAAUGAUUGGCGGAGACAGUUAAAGGGACGGGACUUUUUCUUACACAGUUAUAGCUGCAGCUAAAUCGCGGUACCGUGAUUCUUAUCAAAAUGUCUUUAAUAGAAUUAAAUAAACACAAAGAAAAAGUCAUUUUAAGAUCUUUUAUAUUCCUAACUUCUCAGUGUUUUAUCAGGGCCUGUUUGGAUGAGCAAAGAGCUGAUUUCCUGGAGAUGGAAAAUGUUUUUAGAUCAGUUAAUGAGGGCAAUUUCUCCACGGCGCACUUGACCAUCUCCCACGGCACACUAGUGUGCCGCGGCACACUGGUUGAAAAACACUGAUCUAAUACACUACAUCUAGUGUAUGCGAAUAUUAAAAAUGCAUACAAAGCUGCUACCCUCCCUCACGUCGGCAACUCUGAUCAUCUGGCUGUUAUGCUAACCCCAGCCUACAAACCUAGGGUGAAGCAGGAGCAGUCAGAGAUCAGAGAAAUCAGAAUUUGGCCACAAGAAGCAAGUUCAGCGCAGCAGGACUGCUUUGAGACCACUUUGGGAGACUUUCAGGGAAGCAGCAACCUACAUUAAUAUCACCAACCUGCAGGAAUACACAGUGUCCGUCAUUGACUACAUUAAGAAAUGUGUAGAUGAUGUGACAGUGGUCAAGACCGUCAGGAAUAAACAAAACUGUAAACCUUGGCUAACUGGAGAAGUAUGUUCCCUGUUAAGAGCCCAGGAUAAGGCAUUUAAAUCCGGAGAUGCAGCAGCAUAAAGUCUUGCAAGGAAAAACCUGUCACGGGGGAUCAGAGAGGUGAAGAGGCUGUACGCACAAAAACUGAACAGCCACUGAACAGAAAGGUUCACGUCAACUGUGGCAGGGGUUUCAGUAGAUCAGACUAUAAGCCACCAUAAGCCCCCCUACAAUAUGCCAGAACAACUGCUCUCUACCAGAAGAACUUAACAACUUCUACGCCUGGUUUGAGGGCACAGAUGCUCCCGCUGUCUUCCAGCGACACAGCAUUGCAGCUGUCAGCCGCUGAGGUGAGGACGGCCUUCUCCACCAUCAAUCCAAGCAAAGCGGCCGGCCCGAACAACAUCCCUGGACGGUUCUGAAAGACUGCGUGGAGCAAUUAAAAGAUGUCUUCACUGACAUCUUUAACACAUCACUCAGGCAGGCAUUUGUACCCACCUACCUAAAAACUGCUGUUAUUACUCCAGUCCCAAAAAAGUCAAAUCCAACCUACCCAAACGACGUUCGCCCCGUGGCCCUUACACUGAUUGUGACCAAAUGUCUGGAGCGCUUGGUCCUAAAAAACAUUAAGAACAGUCUUCAAAUAAAUAUGGACCCUUUACAGUUUGCAUGCAA